rnacentral:lncRNA from 1 species
UGCCUUCGAACGAAGUCUUCGUAAUCCACGUUCAGCCAUCAAGAUGAACCACUUUCUUGGGAUGGACCUCCUUGUGGCAGUAGCCAUCGCCAUCGCUGUUAUCAUCAUGGCCCCGCACGAAGCCGCCGCGGGUGCAGGAGGAGCAUCCUCGCAAAUCGGUGGCC